rnacentral:rRNA from 1 species
UGGGGAAUAUUGGACAAUGGGCGCAAGCCUGAUCCAGCCAUGCCGCGUGUGUGAAGAAGGCCUUUUGGUUGUAAAGCACUUUAAGCGAGGAGGAGGCUACUUGGAUUAAUACUCUAGGAUAGUGGACGUUACUCGCAGAAUAAGCACCGGCUAACUCUGUGCCAGCAGCCGCGGUAAUACAGAGGGUGCGAGCGUUUAUCGGAUUUACUGGGCGUAAAGCGUGCGUAGGCGGCUUCUUAAGUCGGAUGUGAAAUCCCUGAGCUUAACUUAGGAAUUGCAUUCGAUACUGGGAAGCUAGAGUAUGGGAGAGGAUGGUAGAAUUCCAGGUGUAGCGGUGAAAUGCGUAGAGAUCUGGAGGAAUACCGAUGGCGAAGGCAGCCAUCUGGCCUAAUACUGACGCUGAGGUACGAAAGCAUGGGGAGCAAACAGG